UUCGUGGUACGUCGGUAACGUGAAUUGGUGUGUGUCUAGCCACUGGACAGCACGAAGGUGCGUAAACGCAAUGCUGAGGAGGCCUACGAGGCGUCCAAGAACGGAAGGCGUUGGAAACGUCGCAUCAGACGAGAAGCCGAAGUCGGGCCAUCGCGUUCUCUCGGUGAAGACCUGCGGGCAAAACCAGUAACGCCAGGUUCUCUCUGUUCCCCAAAGAUGACAGGUGACCGAACCCAAGACCACCGCGUUACGCGCUCGAUGCACUACCAGUUGGGCUACAGCGGUGGCCAUCAAUACUUCCCCAUAAGUCAUGCGUGCUGGUGCUACGGGCCCCGAGGGAAGGAAGCCAUUCUACAAUUUUCAUCAGCGCAUUCCAAACUAGGUGCACAAAAUAGAUGGAUGCUGAAAUGCGAGGCAAGAGUACCAGAUUGAAGAACCCAAAAUGUGGACAUUCUGGGGCUCAAGCGGGCACACCGAGAGGGACACAAGGCGCACCCUCAGGAUCUCCAGUUUAAUCCGCUUUCCGUGACGCAGCGCCCAGCAGAAACUCCUGAUGAUUUUGAGAACGAAUUGCAGCGUAUCCAAGACCAUGGUAGGAGCACCAAUUGCCGUUAGAUUUAUGUCGGAAGUGUCGGCAUCAGGGGGACAGGCCACCAUGUGAUCUGCCGAUUCACAGCGGUUCCAAAGGGAAGCUUUCUAGGUCGAGUGAAUCUAAGGAACAUCUAUCUCUACUUUCUGACUGAGCGCUUUCUAAGUUUGCUUUUUGGC